AGCAGCCGCGGUAAUUCCAGCUCCAAUAGCGUAUAUUAAAGUUGUUGCAGUUAAAAGCUCGUAGUUGAAUUUCGGGAUCAAUUAGUCGGUCGUGCCUCUGGUACGUACUGGUUUUAUUGGUUCCUCCCUUCUGACGAAACAUGAUGUCAUUAAUUUGGUGUCGUGGAGAAUCAGGACUGUUACCUUGAAAAAAUUAGAGUGUUUAUAGCAGGCUAACGCUUGAAUACAUUAGCAUGGAAUAAUGAAAUAGGACGUUCGACCCUAUUUUGUUGGUUUCUAGGAUCGACGUAAUGAUUAAUAGGGAUAGUUGGGGGCAUUAGUAUUCAAUUGUCAGAGGUGAAAUUCUUGGAUUUAUUGAAGACUAACUACUGCGAAAGCAUUUGCCAAGGAUGUUUUCAUUAAUCAAGAACGAAAGUUAGGGGAUCGAGGACGAUCAGAUACCGUCGUAGUCUUAACCAUAAACUAUGCCGACUAGGGAUCGGAUGAUGUUAAUUUUUUAAUGACUCAUUCGGCGCCUUAC
rnacentral:rRNA from 1 species